CGCACCGGGGUGUCGUGCUGUCAAGUCGUGUCGUCGUAUCGUGCCGUCGUGCCUGACAGUUUCUAAAAAGGCUGUUGAUUACUAAGGCUAAUAGAGGGUUUAUGUUACAAGUCCUGGAAAAAAUAACGUGCUAGUAUAGGGUUACACCCAUUGAUCUCCAAUUUUUGUGGAUGGGACAUCACGUCCAAAACGCGUCCCGCACGUGCAUAUUUUCGGGAGGGUAAAUAACAAGCGUUGCGAAUGUUGUUGCGUGCACUUUCAAACGGAGAUUUCAAAACUGCUGGUUGAGGUUAUUGCACUUCAAUCGUCAGAUUUCUAAGAAAAACUGAUUUCUGUCCCUGGAAUGGAUAAAUUUGGAAAGAAUGAUGGUUGAGGUGUGCGCAGCAGAGAAAUUGCCGGAGAUCGAUGGUAAAAUCAAGUUUGGAAGAAGGAGCAGCUUUUGACAUGUGAUUCGCACGUUCAGAAGAUUUCACUGGAAAAAUCUCAAAGAAAGCCAUGAUUUGUGUAAGUGAGAUCUGCAGACGCAUUGAACCCAAAUCGUGUGACAGACGAUGAGAUAUGAAUGACGGAGUCUCCAUCUUUAAGGGUAUCCCGUAAUUCUACCCAUUUGCUACUGGCGGGGUGGCUACUGUCCCAGUUCUUUACGAUUCUGAUUUUGACCUGACUUCGAUGAAUGCUAGCCUCAACCAUCACCUACUCUCCAAUGGUCGGUGCGUAGGGACCUACGCAAGAAACAUAACAAGCCCGAGGACUUCCAUCUCGCAUUCUGGUGGUCCGAUGGAUUCACCUCGUGCCGUUGCUCCAUGAUCACCAUUAUGUAUAUUGUACUUCAAAGAGCUGUGAACAAUUUAUAUUGUAUUAAUUUCGGUGCGGUGUAAUAUCUCGAGCCUUUUUCUCCACUUAUGGGAUAAUCACGUAAUGAUUUCUCACUGGGCCCGUUAAAGUGACCGAUAAGGGAGUGUAAAUGCUUCAGUUUAGUUCAUUUCUUUCUUGAAAUGUAUAGUUCAUCUUUAUGUAUUUUGUGUUCUUUUGUAAAUAAAUGUAAAUAUUGUGUAGCCAAAACAAAUUUCCAGUAACAGGUAUGUAUAUAUUCGUGUCUAAACUACCAAAGGUCUGUCCCUAAGGGUAGGUCAA